GAUGAACGCUGGCGGCGUGCUUAACACAUGCAAGUCGAGCGAAUGGAUUAAGAGCUUGCUCUUAUGAAGUUAGCGGCGGACGGGUGAGUAACACGUGGAUAACCUGCCCAUAAGACUGGGAUAACUCCGGGAAACCGGGGCUAAUACCGGAUAACAUUUUGAACCGCAUGGUUCGAAAUUGAAAGGCGGCUUCGGCUGGCACUUAUGGCUGGACCGACGUCGCAUUAGCUCGUUGGUGAGGUAACGGCUCACCAAGGCAACGAUGCGUAGCCGACCUGAGAGGGUGAUCGGCCACACUGGGACUGAGACACGGCCCAGACUCCUACGGGAGGCAGCAGUAGGGAAUCUUCCGCAAUGGACGAAAGUCUGACGGAGCAACGCCGCGUGAGUGAUGAAGGCUUUCGGGUCGUAAAACUCUGUUGUUAGGGAAGAACAAGUGCUAGUUGAAUAAGCUGGCACCUUGACGGUACCUAACCAGAAAGCCACGGCUAACUACGUGCCAGCCGCCGCCGUAA
rnacentral:rRNA from 1 species